rnacentral:tRNA from 1 species
AGUGCCAUAGCUUAGUGGUGAAGCGCUCGCUUCACAAGCGAGUGGUCGGUGGCUCGU